rnacentral:rRNA from 1 species
GUGUCAGCAGCCGCGGUAAUACGGGGGGUGCGAGCGUUGUUCGGAAUUAUUGGGCGUAAAGGGCGUGCAGGCGGUUUUGUAAGUCUGAUGUGAAAGCCCCGGGCUUAACCCGGGAAGUGCAUUGGAUACUGCAAGACUUGAGUUCGGGAGAGGAGAGUGGAAUUCCUGGUGUAGGGAUGAAAUCCGUAGAUAUCAGGAGGAACACCGGUGGCGAAGGCGGCUCUCUGGACCGAUACUGACGCUGAGACGCGAAAGCGUGGGUAGCAAACAGGAUUAGAUACCCCUGUAGUCC